rnacentral:lncRNA from 1 species
UUUAAAGCAAUCUAAGCCUUCUGAACUUAUUCUAAUUAAGUAUCUUCAUCACAAAUGAUCUUUUCUUCAUACCUUAGGUGUCGAACUUUACGAAUGAAUCUUUGUUCUUCAAUUUGAAUUUUUUCUUCAAAAACUUUUGCGAUCAACUCUUCAAGACUCCAUUCAACAUUACGAAAUUCGCCAACCUAUAAAAUCCUUAACACCCUCUUCUUG